GAUGAACGCUGGCGGCGUGCCUAAUACAUGCAAGUCGAGCGAACGGACGAGAAGCUUGCUUCUCUGAUGUUAGCGGCGGACGGGUGAGUAACACGUGGAUAACCUACCUAUAAGACUGGGAUAACUUCGGGAAACCGUAGCUAAUACCGGAUAAUAUUUUGAACCGCAUGGUUCAAAAGUGAAAGACGGUCUUGCUGUCACUUAUAGAUGGAUCCGCGCUGCAUUGGCUAGUUGGUAAGGUAACGGCUUACCAAGGCAACGAUGCAUAGCCGACCUGAGAGGGUGAUCGGCCACACGGGAACUGAGACACGGUCCAGACUCCUACGGGAGGCAGCAGUAGGGAAUCGUCCGCAAUGGGCGAAAGCCUGACGGAGCAACGCCGCGUGAGUGAUGAAGGUCUUCGGAUCGUAAAGCUCUGUUAUUAGGGAAGAACAUAUGUGUAAGUAACUGUGCACAUCUUGACGGUACCUAAUCAGAAAGCCACGGCUAACUACGUG
rnacentral:rRNA from 1 species